CCAAACCACCUCAACUGGCUCCUCUCAAUGUGGAGGAUCAGCAGCUUCACUCUGAGCUCCUCCCAAGCUCCUCAUACUAUCAGAGCUGCAUCCACUGAGCAGAAAUCAGCACCAAACAACACUGCAACUACAGAAAGUAAAAAGGUUUAAGAAAGUGCUUCAGUGCUCCCUGUAUGUCUGCACCCAAGACCAUGAUUUAUCAGGAGGAAUGUGAAUUUGAGGAGGAACUGAAUUGAAUACAUUUGGGUGCAUGUUACUGAGAUGUGCCCUCAGGUUGCUAGUCUACUGCUCUACAGUAUUUCCAAACAAGCCUGAGAGCAAAUCACUCUCUCUGCAUCCGAGUUGGGAUGCGAACUCUCUGCUAUCAUUACCACACAGUUGUUGAAUUAUUUGCUUGUUUCAGCUGCACCUACAUUUCAUUGUA